CAGGGAGCUGUUGCAAGCAACAAGGGAGCUUGCCCGAAUCUCAAUGUGAGCAGAUCUCGAGAUACAGACCCACCUGGGACCCGUGGCUCAUCUGGAUGCGACCCUAUUGCCCCUGUCUGGAGGGUUAAUAUGAUGCCCAGAAACGUGCUGAUCCCAGAGCAGCGCUGAAUGGCUGCCUGUAACUCCUCCACAGGAUUCCUUCAGGAUAAGGCAACCUUGCUCCCGACCCACGUUUCCGGCAGCGUGGGUGGAAGGCGGUGCGGGCAGGGGUCUUUGCCCGGGGUCCCUGGUGGCUGUUAGGCAGCAGAUGCUCCCACAGGUGCUGUGCUCCUUCCCCCAAAUGCGGGGUCCUGCUGCAGCCUCCGUGCCACCUGCACUGGGGACGACCUGUCAGCACCAGGGCACGCGCUUGGAGUAAGAGAUGGAGCGCGAGCAAUACCAAGACUUCCCCUGCCAGGGCCAAGAACCGAGUGCUGGCCGGCCGCCAGUCCACCCCUUUCACCGCUUUUCCGGCGGGCCCGGAAGCGACGUGCCCAGCUUUGCCCACGUGGGACGCCAGCCAGGGCGGGCGGUUGCUGCGAUAACCUGUGCAAACCUUGCGCAGACGUGCCACGGCUUUCAGCAC